rnacentral:misc_RNA from 1 species
GAUGAAGAACGCAGCGAAAUGCGAUAAGUAAUGCGAAUUGCAGAAUUUCCGUGAGUCAUCGAAUCUUUGAACGCACAUUGCGCCCCUUGGUAUUCCGAGGGGCAUGCCUAUUCGAGCGUCAUUAUCACCCCUCAAGCCUAGCUUGGUGUUGAGACCUGCUGUCAAGGCAGUCUCUAAAAUCAGUGGCAGUGCUGUCAGGCUCUAAGCGUAGUAAAUUCGUCGCUAUAGGGUCCUGGUGGAUACUCGUCAAAACCCCCCCAUUUUUUAAUGAUUGACCUCGGAUUAGGUAGGGAUACCCGCUGAACUUAAGCAUAUCAAUAAGCGGAGGA